ACGUUGCAACACCGGUUCCCGUACGAUCACCAAACUUAAGCAAAUUCGAGCCUCGGCAGUGCCUCGAUGGGUGAGCACCUGUGAAUACCAGGUGUUGUAAG